rnacentral:rRNA from 1 species
AGAGUUUGAUCCUGGCUCAGAACGAACGCUGGCGGCGUGCCUAACACAUGCAAGUCGAACGGAGUGAAGGAGCUUGCUCUUUCAUUUAGUGGCGCACGGGUGAGUAACGCGUAGAUAAUCUGCCUUGGACUCUGGGAUAACAUCUCGAAAGGGGUGCUAAUACCGGAUAAGCCCACGAUGGCGUAAGUCAUUGCGGGAAAAGGGGGCCUCUGAAUAUGCUCCUGAUUCAAGAUGAGUCUGCGUACCAUUAGCUAGUUGGUAGGGUAAGAGCCUACCAAGGCGACGAUGGUUAGCUGGUCUGAGAGGAUGAUCAGCCACACUGGAACUGAGACACGGUCCAGACUCCUACGGGAGGCAGCAGUGGGGAAUUUUGCGCAAUGGGGGAAACCCUGACGCAGCAACGCCGCGUGAGUGAUGAAGGCUUU